ACAUACGCGUAGAGUUUGAUCCUGGCUCAGGACGAACGCUGGCGGCGUGGAUUAGGCAUGCAAGUCGAGCGACGGACCUUCGGGUUACGGAGCGGCGAACGGGUGAGGAACACGUGAACAACCUACCCCAUUGUUCCGGAUAAUUGGUCGAAAGACCUUGUAAUACGGGCGAGAAUCCAGAUGAGGCAUCUUGAUUGGAUUGAACAAGCAAUUGGCACUGGGAGGGGUUCGCGGCUUAUCAGGUAGUUGGUGAGGUAACGGCUCACCAAGCCUACGACGAGUAGCUGGUCUGAGAGGAUGGUCAGCCACAUUGGAACUGAGACACUGUCCAGACUCCUACGGGAGGCUGCAGUCGAGAAUCUUGGGCAAUGCACGAAAGUGUGACCCAGCGACGCCGCGUGAAGGAUGAAGGCCCUCUGGGUUGUAAACUUCUUUUACGGGAGAAGAAGAUCUGACGGUAUCCCGUGAAUAAGCCACGGCUAACUACGUGCCAGCCGCCGCGGUAAU
rnacentral:rRNA from 1 species